ACUCAAAGGAAUUGACGGGGGCCCGCACAAGCGGUGGAGUAUGUGGCUUAAUUCGAUGCAACGCGAAGAACCUUACCUGGCCUUGACAUGCAUCUCUAAGCUGGUGAAAGCCAGUGAGUGUCGAAAGACACAAUUUGCACAGGUGCUGCAUGGCUGUCGUCAGCUCGUGUCGUGAGAUGUUGGGUUAAGUCCCGCAACGAGCGCAACCCUUGUGAACUGUUGCCACCGAGCCGUGAGGCUCGAGCACUCUGUUCAGACUGCCCUGUGAAACGGGGAGGAAGGUGAGGACGACGUCAAGUCAGUAUGGCCCUUACGGCCAGGGCUGCACACGUACUACAAUGCCCAGUACAGAACGAUCCGAGACCGCAAGGUGGAGGAAAUCUAUCAAAACUGGGCCCAGUUCGGAUUGAAGUCUGCAACUCGACUUCAUGAAGCCGGAAUCGCUAGUAAUGGCGUAUCAGCUACGACGCCGUGAAUACGUUCCCGGGCCUUGUACACACCGCCCGU
rnacentral:rRNA from 1 species